rnacentral:rRNA from 1 species
AGUAAUACAUAGGUAAUCUGCCUUUAAGUGGGGGAUAACUAGCCGAAAGGUUGGCUAACACCGCAUAAUAUUGUAAGUUGAGAUAUUUACAAGGAAAGAUUUAUCGCUUUUAGAGGAGCCUAUGGUCGAUUAGCUAGUUGGUAGGGUAAUGGCUUACCAAGGCGACGAUCGAUAGCUGGUCUGAGAGGACGAUCAGCCACACUGGGACUGAGACACGGCCCAG